UGUAUCUGUGAGAGAAAAGGGCAGAAUCCCGGCCCGGACACGGACAGGAUUGACAGAUUGAUAGCUCUUUCUCGAUUCCGUGGGUGGUGGUGCAUGGCCGUUCUUAGUUGGUGGAGCGAUUUGUCUGGUUAAUUCCGAUAACGAACGAGACUCUGGCAUGCUAACUAGUUACGUGACCCCCGAGCGGUCAGCGUCCCCCAACUUCUUAGAGGGACAAGUGGCGUUCAGCCACCCGAGAUUGAGCAAUAACAGGUCUGUGAUGCCCUUAGAUGUCCGGGGCUGCACGCGCGCUACACUGACUGGCUCAGCGUGUGCCUACCCUACGCCGGCAGGCGCGGGUAACUAGUUACGCGACCUCAGAUCAGACGUGGCGACCCGCUGAAUUUAAGCAUAUUAGUCAGCGGAGGAA
rnacentral:ncRNA from 1 species